CCACCUGCAACCAAGGCCAGGGGCUGAAGUGGGCCUUAAGUGGCAAGGCCAACCUGUCUGGGAGCUGUACGUAUCCAUCUGAUCUCGAAAAUGAGGCCCGGGGUGGGUGGCAAGGGGGCGGUCCCUUGGGAGUCCGUCAAGGGGAAUUUUCACAGAGGGGCUUCCUCAAGGUCUCGGGGGAGUUGGUCUUGCUCCCUCCCAUGAGGUUGUGAAGGCAGUGGACUUUGGUUUGGGGUGUCACCAGGCAGUCAGUGGCACUCAACAAGUGGGCUAUUCCAGAGGGGGUGAGCUGAUUACUCAGCUGGUCAGCCCAUCUGCUGGCUAGAUGCUAGAAAAUCCAACUCUCAGUGGGCACUGGCUGUCCUGAUCUGACCUGCAUCAUGGGCCCCAUUGGAAAAGAAGGUCAAGUUCAUGACCUCAGAGGCCAGAGUCAAAUGGUGCAUACUCUUUCAUGUUCAUGAGCGCACACACACACACACACACACACACACACACACACACUGACAAGGCGAGAAGCUGCAGGAGAGGUAGGGGCUCCAUCUCCCAUCCAGACAGGGGAAUACUAAUACCCAUCACGAGGAGUGGCAUGAGCAAGUGGGCCUGCUGCUCCCUCUUUCCUCUGGACCAGCUGGCAGCUCUCCUGUCCUGUUCUGCCUCCUGCCUCCAUGGGGUACUACACGGUGCCUCCUCACCCCACAAAGUCCUCACAGUUUCCCUGGGUGGCGCAUGCGCUUCUUCCUGCCUGAGCUCUGCCCUUGCAGCCUGGCUUUGCUCCUCUGAGGCAGUGACUCCAUCAGCACUGGUUUGGUGAGGGGAGCUGAGUCGGAAGGUUCUUUUGUCAGCCAAUUGGUACCACACCACAGGAGGACAAGAGACCUCUGCCUUGGUUUGGAUCUGGUUCUGGGGCAGUGAUACCUGUGUUGGACCAGUGACCCCGCAGCCUGCUGUGUGCAGGCAGCACCAGAGCCCCACAGGGGUGUAUGUGUUAUGUAUGUGUGUGCAUGUGAAUUCAUGGUAAUGUGUGCAUGUGCGCAUGUGUGGAUGUGUGUGUGCAUGUGUGCAUAUGUGUGUGCAUGUGUGUCCACGUGACUGUGUCCACAUUUGAGUGUGUGCAUGUAUGUGUCCAUGUGAGUGUGUGAAUGUGUGCAUGUGUGAGUGUGUGCAUGUGCGAGCAUGUGCAUGCAUGACCGUGUGGAUGUGUGAGCUUGUGCACAUGUGUGUGUGUAUGUGUGUGCAUGCAUGACCGUGUGCAUGUGUGAGCUUGUGCAUGUGUGUAUGUACAUGAGUGACUGUGUGGAUGUGUGUGUCUGCACAUAUGAGCGUGUGCACAUGUGAGCCUGUGGAUGCGUGAGCAUGUGCGUGUGAACGUGUUCAUGCACGAGUGUGCACGUGUGAGCGUGUGCAUGUGUGUGGAUGUGUGUGUGGAUGUGUGAGCGUGUGCAUGUGUGUGUGGAUGUGUGAAUGUGUGGAUGUGUAUGUGUGGACGUGUGAGACUGACAUUAGCAUGUGGACGUGUGAGCAUGUGUAUGUGUGUGCAUGUGUAUGUGUGUGGAUGUAUGAAUGUGUAUGUAUAUGUGUGUGCAUGCGUGUGUGGAUGUGUGAGUGUGUGCAUGUGUGAGUGUGUGCAUGUGAGUGUGUGGGUGUGUAUGUGUGUGCAUGUGUGUGUGGAUGCGUGUGUGCAUGUGUGAGCAUGUGGAUGUGUGAGCAUGUGCAUGUGUAUGUGUGUGCAUGUAUAAGCGUGUACAUGCACAUAAGCCUGUGCAGUUGGGGGAUUCCUUAAAGAUCUCUAGGGAGUGAGAGUUCUCCAUCUCCCUGGUUUAAUUCUAUUCUGGAAAACACUCUUUUUGAAACCACGGGAACAUCUCUUCAGGCUCCUCCCACUGCAGUUGAAGUGUCCUUCGGGAGUUUGUCUUUCCAGAUCUGCAGAGGCUCCUUGCCUUCAGAGCGUCACCCCACAGUCACUGGUCCCUGGACCUGCAGUGUCUCCGCUCCCCUGCCUUCCCUCCCCUUUCUCUCAUUCCUGGAGCCUUUCCUGGCAUCACAGAUGCUGUAUCUUGCCCUUCCCUCCAUUAGCUUCUUGCCUCUGUCUAGCCCAUCCAGCCCCAAGAGACAGCUGCUUCUUGGCAUCACACAGAACACCUAGGCUGGCACCAUGCAGUUGUUAUUGCAAAUUAAUAUUGGGUAAUUAUUAAGAACACAAUUAAUAAUAACAAUUAUAGUUUAACAACGGAACAAACCAUAGCUCCCUGAGAGCUUAAGGAGCUUCCCAACAAACCAUUAUGAGUUAUUCAUGAGUUGUUUCAAUUUCUAACUUUAAUUUAAUGACCAGACUUAAUAGUCAGGCUGGCCCCUGCCUGCGGCAAAUGAAUUCAGUUCCAGAAGUGUGUCCAGUCCCCCAGUUCCUUCCACCCUGCUGAGGCGAGGGGCCAGGUGGUGGGUGCAGCGGAAGGCCAGGUGAGGAGCUGGCUGGGCUGGGAGGGCAGGGAGGCCUGGCCACUCACAGUUCUGAGUGCUGGGUUGGGGCUGGAGGGUUUGGGCCCAGGUGACAAGGCCAAGCAUGCUUCUUCCUCAGGUCUUCCUAGAGAAGAUGCAGCUCCCUCCUCUUCUUCCAGGGCCCCUCACCAGGAGCACCACGGAGGGUGGAAGCCCCACCUGCUUGGCGCUGAAUUAUCAGCCGAACUGCUGCUGGCUCCAGGCUCCGAGUUUCCCCUCCCAUCCUGUCCUCUCCUCUCAGGCUGGUCUUCCCCUCGUGCUCUGAAAAACAAUCGAGGGGUCCCUGCCAAAAAUACAGAGGCUCAAACCACUGCAUCCAAGCAGCUGCCCAAGGAUCGAGGCCAAGAGCCAAAGAGUGAGUCCCUCUGCGCCCUCUUCACGCCUCUCCUGAUUUUGGUGCGGUUUCUUCUUCCCUGUCCUUCCUCUUUGUCUCCUUCCCUCUCCCCACCCACCUCCCCCUGAUGCACUGUUGCUUCCCCACCUCUCCCAACCCCUCUGAAAUGCAGUCAGCUUAAGCCUCUCCCAAUCAAUGUCUAAUUUGGUCUGAACAAAUGUAAGAGGAUUAAUUAUUUAUAUCACAGAAUCAGGGCCCAGCAUGUCACAGCCACCAGGUUGUCCUCAAACAGCCCAAGUUUCAUCGCGGGUGGGGGUGCCAUGUCCUGCUAUCUGCUGAGAACACAGAGAGACCCUCAGAGGAAAGGGUCCCAAAGCACUUUGGGCUGCUGGUCCCUAGGAUCACCUGCGGUGACACCUCCAUGCCACCCAGGCCUCCUUUCCGGGUGCUGGGAUGGAGGAGGGCGUUAUUGCUAGUUUCAAAGAUGACAGCCUCUUAGCGAGAGCAGAGGGGAAGCUAUCAAGAUGAACGGAAGUAAAGAAACAAAUAUUCCUGUAAUCUUGUCAGUUAGUUGGGAAAAAUCAAUGUACUUAUGUGAUGAGAUUUGCUUCCGGCUUUUCUUCUUGGAUCCCAACAUUGCAUCUGAACACCUGGCUGCUUGGUGAGACCCCGCUGGAGUGAAGGGGCUGAAUGAGUGUGGGUGGGUGCAGGCGCACACUGCCUCCCAUCUCUGUGGCCUCUCUGCCUCCUCUCUUCCCAGGCCACCCCAGCUCUCUCGCAUUAACCUGGGGGCUGGAAGCGCUCCCUGAAAGCCUCUGGAGUCCUGGAGGGAGAUGACCCUGCAGUGAGGUGUUUUCAGGGCUUUUUGCUAAUCAGAAGGCCAUGAGGGAAGGUGACCAGUAAGAACCAGUGAGUCUCUGCAGGGCGCCCUGCCCUCCCAGCUCCUGCUUGGCACAGGAGGGGCUGACUGUGAUACUGUGAGCUCCAGGAGAGGAUGAAAGGGAGGACCCACAGGCCACCUGUAGCCUAGGGAAGCCUGCAUGUUCUCUUUGUGUUUAUUUAUGAACUUUUUAGCUUGCAAAAAACCAACUUUGGAAUUACAGAGAAGUUGCAAGAGUAGUCCCGUUGCCUGGAUUUACCUGUUACCAUUUUCUCACAUGUGCUUCGUGGUGACCUCUCCUCUCCUCACACCUUCUUCUCCCUCCUAUCACUGCUGUUCUGUUUUUUUUGAGGUUGGUGACCCUGGAAUCAGGCCCAGCACUUUGUUUCCUGGGUGUUUGCUUAAAGUAGGCUGGUGUGGGUGGGGGAGACAGGCCUGGGGUGGGAGGGGCCAGGUCCCAGGGCAUGCAGCCCUCUGUCUGCCCAGCCCACCCAUCACUAGGUCCCCAGGUGACCGGAGCCUGGCAGUGAGGGGAAAUGAAAGGUGAAAGUUGAGUGCCUUGGUCUCUGGGGUCCAACAGGCAUUCUAAGGGUAGCUGUGAGGGCGAAUAGGGGUGCUUGCUGUGUGGUCUGCGGGUGUGAAGGGCUGCUCUGGGAAACCAGCAUCGCAGGUAUUUUUGGGCAUGUUGUACUUGGUGUUUAGUGACCAGGAUCAGAGACCUGGGAGCAGACAAAGGAGAGAAGCUGAGCUUGUAUGGAGAAACCCAGGCCUGACAGGUGCAAUGUGGAGGCCCAGGGGCAGGGAGUCUCAUCGGGCUCCUCUCCUGCAUCUUCAGUGGCUUCUGAAUAGAUGCCAGACCCCAGCCAAACCAGACUUUCCCCAUAGACCUGGCUGGACCCCAAGAUUCUGGGAGCCCAGAGUCCUGGGCUCAGAAGGCACCCUGAAGGUCCUCUGAUCUUUCUUCUGACUCUAGUCCAGCAAAUGGUUCAAUUGGACAGGACCGAUGGGUUCAUCCUAUUUUAAUAUUCCCUUGGGGAUAGGGCCUCUGUGCUCUGCCUGGAUUUCUGACUCCAGUGCCGCUUAAUUAUGCACUCUGCAGGGAGCUCCUCCUCAUGCUCAGCCUGAAUCGCUGGCUGUCACUGUGGCCCAUUUCCUUCCAUUCUGCCUGCUGGGGCCACACUGCCUCUUGUCUUCCCUGUUCUCCACUCCCCCAGGCCGGCUUAUUUCCUAGGCUGAGGCCAUUAGCAUCCUUGGCCCUGCAGAUGCUGUAGCUUCACGACCCAGAUCAGUGGCAGAGGUGACACCCUGGGCUCCACCUCCAAGCCUGGGCUGGUGGACAGCGGCUGGGCUGAGUCAGGCCCAUGGUGAGUUCCACGAGGCAUUUAAAAGGAGGUGAGUCUGCCCUUGAGUGCCUCCAAGGUUGCUUAGUCUCCUGGAGUCUUGUGCAGUGACUGUGCCCAGGCAGAAAAGUGCCCAGAGGAGCAGCCCUGUGUGUUUAUUGGAUCAGUCAGACACAUUUACGGAGUACCUGGUUUAUGCCAUGUGCUGUGCUACAUGCUGAGAGCCAUCAACGACUAAAUUGAGGUUCCUGCCUUUAAGAAGCGCUGUCACAAGGCAGAAACAAGUAAAAAACAGUGAUGCUUUUAUCCAUGUGAUGAGCAAGGGACACACAGGGCCCAUGAGUGUGUGCGAUCUUGGGUGCCCACUGGACCGGCCCGGGGCCCAGACAUCCUGACCUGCCAGCUGACCCUGUGUGAUGGGCACGAGGCUAGGAGGCAGGUUCUCAUCUUGCUGCUUCUCCUGGUGGUUCUGAAUGUUUUUCCUGAGCCUUUUUUUCCCCGUGUUAAGCGUGUGGGAUAAGCAGGCUAUUCAAGCAGAAGGUGUGAGUUCUGUUGCCUCCAGUGGAAGAGGGCGCGUGCACACACAAAGGAGGGGAAGGGCCCACCUGGCCAGCAGGCAGUGGGCGUGAGGGGAAGGGGAGAAGGCUACUGAACAUCAGCUGUGGACUAGGCUCACGCUGCGGCCAUGCUGAGAAUCCUAAGUGACAUAUGUGAGAGGCAUGGGGGUGGGGGCCACUGGCCAGGCCAGGCCUCCUCAGCAGUGAUUCUCACCUGUACUGGGUGACAGCUGGGUUGGCCUUUGCAGAGCAGUGGAAAGUGACGAUGUUGUCCUCCAGCACUGGCUGUGGCUCCACGGAGAGGUUGACCAGCGGGGGGUCUGCAGGGAGAGGAGAGUCGCUUGUGGACCCGAGAAAGAAUGGGGACAGGGAGACCCCAGGUGACAUGGAGGGUAGAGCCAGAGACUCCACCACUCAGGGACCCUAAGAGCAGCCACUGCCCUGGUGGUCUCCAGGAAGUUGGGGGCGCCAUGGGAGGUGCCUGCUUCAGACAGUCCUGGAUGUGGGAUCAGGACACCCCCCACCCCCACCCCGGCCAUCGUGGACUUGGGGCCUGGUGUUGAUGCAAACCCAGAGCCAGGAAGCCUCAGGCUUGAGCCUAGGGGUUGCCCAUCCUCCAACUUUUGGGCAGAACAAAAUACUCCAGGAAGGAGAGGUGGGAAGAGAAGUGCAGGGCAGAGAGGGGCACGUGGACACUCAGCCUCACUUCAGUGCUGACUUUGUCUUUGAAAUGUCCGUUUAUUAUCUCUUUUCCGUAAAGGUUCUGGGGCAUUUGUUAACUUGAAAGCGGCAUUUACACCCUUUCAUCAGCCUAAUCAUCUCGGCUCAGUCCUGGCUGGUGGUGCCAGGCCUCAGCUCCCCAGGCCGGGGCUGGCUUUCUCGUUUGACAGGAUAAGAAGCCAGGCUCUGAAGUGCUAAAUGGCAGGAGGGGGAGGAGACAGAAAGUCAAAGAGAGAAAGAGUCAGGGGGACAGGAACCAGAGACACGGAGACACACAGAGAGACCUGUACAGAAGGGAUCGGAGGCCGACGGCAAGUACCCAGAGUAGAGACACGGAGACCACAGAGGAAGAGAGAUUUUAGGGGUGUGUGUGCACGCAUGUGUGUGUAUGUGUGCAUGUGUGCAUGUAUGUGUGUGCAUGUAUGCGUGUGUGCAUGUGUAUAAUGUGUAUGUGCAUGUGUGUAUGUAAGGGUGUGUGCAUGCAUGUGUGUGUCUGUAUGUAUGUGUGUGCCUGUGUGUAUGUGGUGUGUGUACAUGUAUGUGCAUGCAUGUGUGCAGGUGGAUGCAUGUGUGUAUGUGUGUGCAUGUAUGAGUGUGCAUGUGUGUGCAUAUAUAUGUGCACGUGUGUGUAGGUGUGUGCAUGUGUGUGUGCUGUGUGCAUGUGUAUGUGUGCAUGCAUGUGUGUACGUGUGUAUGUGUGUGUCUAUGUGUAUGUGUGCAUGUGUAGAGAGAGAGAGACAGAGAUAAAGAAGUGACAGGGACAGAGCGAGACACAGGCAGAGAGAUAGAAAGACACAGAAACUGAGAGUGCAGAGAAAGAGUGAGAAAAAGACACCUAGAGAAGCAGAGGGCAGAGUGACAGCGAGAUGGAGAGACUGACCUGUUCACAGAGACUCAGAAUCAGACAAGGAUUUCAGAGCAAAAGCAGGAAAGACCAUGAAGACCCGGCACGCAGGGCCCGACAAUGACAGGGUGUUGGAGAGAAAGACCCAGUCAAAGAACGAGAAAAAGAGACACGAGGGAGGAGCAGCCUGCAGGAUGGAAAGAGGGAAACAGCUUGAGGGGCUGCCACAGAGAGACUGAGGUGGGAAUGGCUUCCACUGCCUGGCUCAGGGGCAACUGGCUCCGGACCGUCUCCAGAGGCUGCUGUUACUCCCGCUGCUGGGAUCCUGGUGGCCCUUGGCCUACAUAUCCCCGGGACAUCCAGACUUGGAGGGAGGGGAGAUGUUGAGCCAGUUCCCAUCCUUCUUCCCUUUGACAGCCCAGAGAUCUGGCUGAGUUGAGUGGGCAGCCCGGGACCUGGUGCCCAUGGACAGGCUGGGCCGUGGGCCACAUCUUCUGGGUCAGUCCCCACCAACAAGCAGAGCAAAUUGCUGGAAAGUCAUGGGGACUUUGAGAGGUCCCAGCUCAUUUCCAGAAAAAGAAGUAAAGAAGCCAGUGUCUCAGAGGCAAUGAGGAAAAAUGCUGGUCUCUCUGGGUCCCCAUGGGGGCACCAUAAAGGGAGCAAAGCCCCACCCAGCCCAGUUGGCCUGGGUGCUGGCUGGGACUAUGGUGGGGUCCUGAGACCCUCAGAGAGUCAUCAUACCCUCAGCCUUUCAGCUGCAGACUGAGCUGGCCCUACCCUGCAGUUGGAAUCAUAUAACUGCUCAGCCGCCCUCUUUCUUCUGGUGCCCAAGAGGACCCUGUCUUCCUGCCUAGUGCCAGGUGCAGGAGCUGUCCUGGGAAAUGGCCCCAGGGGCUGUGCUGGUAUCUGCAGGCACUAAGGAGAGAACUCUGUUUCUUGAGUAGCAGGUGGCCGACUGUGCCGGGGAGUCUGUUCUCCCACAUUUUCCCCAGUUCUGGUUGGGGGACCAAAAAUCCGGGAAACAUCUACUCCUGGUGCAGCCGGCCGGCCUGCCUUUUGUGGAGAAUUACAAGGGAAGUGGUGGGUAUUUCAUGAUCUCAAUCCCAGUUUUAAGGCAUAAUUCAGGUGGUCACAAAGAUGGGGUGACAAGGAAUAGCCAUGAGAACUCGUCUCCCAACCCCAGAGCCCCACAGCUUCUCCCGAAGCUGAACCCUAGCUUCCAGGGCAAGGCUGAAUCAGGAGUCCCAGCCCUCUUUCCAUGCCGGGCUGGCUGGCUAAGCUGGGCAUCCGUGGGACCCUAUCUAGAGAAGAUGGGCACCCAGAGAGGAGCUUGCAUCUCGCUGUGGGCUGGAGGAGCAGCGCUGAGGCAGAGUAGCUCGGGAAUUGCCACCUGGAUCCAAACACACGGCCAGCCCGUGCCCUCGCAUUAUGAAGGCCAAUGCUGGGAGGUGGAGUACCCACACCACGUCUGGUUUGAGGUGGUGAGUGCCAGUCCCAUAGACUUGAGGGACCUGCCACAGAUCUUGGGGCACUGUUCCAGGAGGCCCUUCCCUCACCUGGGGGUCCUCUCUAAAGUGAUGAGAUCUGAGAGGCAGAGAGGCAGGUCAUGCACCUGCUGUAGGACUUUCUUGCUGCCAGAUGCCCCGUCACACUCCUGCCAUGAUCAGUUUACCCGUGAGGCCUCCCUCUCUCCUGCACUCCCCCAGCUUCCACGGCAUCGUCCGUGGUGAUCACCUGCCCUGAAGCCACCCACAAGGGUUCCACACUCACUGGCCUUAUCUGCACCUCCACCCCAAGACCAGAGGUGCCCAAGCUUCUCUCUCCACUUCUGGUACACAGAAUAUAAAUUUUCAGGAGUCUGCCAAGCUCCAGAGGUAUAAAUAGUUUAUGCCAUAUCCAACUAUUAAACAUGAUUUUAAUCCCACUUGUGAUGUCGGCAGUGUAACUUGCGGGAGGGCAGCUUUGAUGUAGCUGGUGGAACUGAGAUCACAUUGAACAGAUGUUACAGCUGAGAGUCUGUUAGUGUUUCCAUCCGCCCGUGUGCGUGUGCGUGCGUGUGUGUGUUUUCAGGGGAAGUAUUACAUGGAGGAGAGGGUGGGAAAAGAGAGAAACUUAAUGACUCAGUGAUUUCAUAGCACAUUCAUUUGAAACUUGGCAGCUGGACACAGAGUCCAGAUGUGGUGAGGCUUUGGGGGUGUUAAGCUUUCUCUCCCAUUACUCAAUCUGAGGGCUUUGUCUUCCGUUGGGUAACAUACGAAGACCAAGAGAAACAAACAACAAAUGUGCUUUUGCUGAGUUUGGAUGCUUCUUGGUUGACUGAGAAAAUGAGCAGGUUUGCAAAGGCAGCUCUGAGGCAGCCCGUGGUGCCCUUAGUAAACAGUUGGAAGCUGACCCAAUGAACAAAUGAGUAAAGGGAGGAGGAGCAGGAGCAGGAGGAGGGGGAAGUGGGGAGGGAGGGGUGGAGAAUGUGCGCUUUGCUUGGCAAGAACGAUAAGCACCUUCAGGUUAGGGGAGGUGGGUGCUGGGACAAACAGAUGGCGAUCCCUUGCCUGUUAGGACUGUGGGGACACCUGAGGAGGGCGCCACUCACCUAUGGGUGGGUCUGCAUCCUGACAGCAGGUGACAGGUGUGGGGCACUCACAACGUGUCAGAUACCGCGCUAGGGGCUUGACAGGAAGGAUUUCAUUUAAUCCUCACUGCAGCCUUAGGAGGUGCAUGACCACCUCCAUGUACAGACGAGGAAACCGGGCACAAAGAGGUUAAUUAACCAGGUCAGUGCCACUCAGUAAGUGGCGGAGCCAGACUUCAAAGCAGGAAGAAUGCUGUGGCCUUCAUCACUACCCAGUACUGCCUUGGAUGAGGCUGAUCUGGGAAACUGGGCCGCUGGGCUCCAGGUGUCCCUCUGACCUCAUUCUGAUGCCACCUAAGGUGGCUGAGAUGUCUUUGGAAAGGAAGCCAGAAAUUGUCCAGAGACCUGGCAAGGCCCAGUGUUUUCCCCCAGGUGCAGACUGACACGUGCAGCCUGGUAAACGAUCCUCUAUGGGCAUGAGUGUAGAACGGGCUGUGGUUAGGAUGGUGACUUUCCCAUUGCCUGGAGAGGUUCUCCUGGGGCGAUGGAUGGUGGCCUGGAGCAGGAAACACGGCUUCUUCCCACCUCUCGCUGCCAGGACCUAUGCAGCUGUCGCAGGGGGCCAGCUAGAUUGUCACUUUUGUCCAAGUGUGGCCUUUUGUAUAGGCCUUCUGACCAGGUUGGGGACCAGCUGGGGAAGGAGAGUAGGGGGCUGUGGUGGCUGAAAAUCAAAUGGCAGCCUGGGAGUAGGAGGCUUGGAUGCUCUGUGUCUCUUGCCCUCUCCCUUUCCUGAUUUGGAUUGAGUCUGAACAGAGAGCUCUGAUCUGUGGCCUGUCCUAGGGCAAGAAGGGCCCUUGGAUGUCAUUUGGUUAAAUCAGACAAGGAACCAGAGUCCCCAGGAGUGAUGUCACAGAUGUGGGCCCAGCCCGCUUAUGGGUGGCGGAGCCAUCCUGGACACUGGACUGCCUGGCCUCGCAGCAUCUCACCUCUUCCAGCAACGGGGCUUACUGCUCCAUGCGGGCUGCUCACCAUGCAGGAGGAGGUGGUGCUCAGAGCCAGGACCCAGGCCAGGGCCAGGAGAGGGAAGAGCCCAGGGUCAAAGGUUAAGGAGGCCUUGCCUCACUUUCAGGGCUGGUCUUAGAGGGAGGCCUCCUUGCAUUUUGUGUCUUGGGGCCUCCCGCCAUCACCCUAGCUCUAAGCUUGGCUGGACCUCUGCUGCUCUGGCUCCUUGUGAAUGAGGACUCCAAGAAGACUCCUUGGGGAGGGGUGUGUCAGGGGUGGUGGUGGGGGACAGAGACAUUUGUUAAUAGCUGAUGGCAGAAGAGUGAAGAUAAAGUCCCCCUCCCCACCCAACCCCACUGCCCCACUCCAAGAACUCAGCCUUUGUGUCUGGGUGUCUUGAGCCUGCCUGAGGUUUUUAACCAUUUCUUCUGCCCUGUGGAAUCUGAAUAGUGUCUGUCAGGAUUCUUGACACUGGGUGGGAACUUCUGCUCUCUGGCUGUCGAGAUGAGCUCUCAGCAUCCUAAGACCCCAUCUCUGGACUCCAGGUCCCUGGAGAGCCACACGGAGGCCAGAAUCCAGAAGCCUUAGAUGAAUCAGGGCUGGUAGGAAGUGUUUUUAAAUGCCCUUGCUUUAAAAUGAGUAAAAGGCUAAGGAGGACUUGAACGGCAGCCUGCAGCGCCAGCCUUGUAACUUAGAGCCCAGGACAGAAGCAGCCACCAGCGUGCGGUAGUAUUAUGCUGGGCGGCAGGGAGGGAAUCUCAGAGGAGAGAAGUCCGCUUUUGAGUCCUGACCCUUAAACCCACUGAAUCCAGGACUAACCCAGGAAGGCCACUGGAACAACUUGCUGAGCUCUUCUUGGUUCUGGGGCUGACAGGCACCUUAGGGAGACUUUAGGAGUCUUUGUUAGGUAGUUUUGGGAUGCGAUGCUGGUGGAGCCUUGAAGUGUCAUGAUUGCCAAUAUUAAUCCCAACACGGUGCACUGAAGGCUGGCUGUGCGGGAGCAUGGAGAGGACGUCACCAGGGUGGGCUCUGGAAAGCUAUGCUGCCUGCAUUUGAAACCUAAGUGGCCUUGGGCAAGUUAAUCACCCUUUUGGUUCCUCAGUUUCCCACGGUAGGGAUCACAGUCACACCUUCUCCAAACAGUUGUUGUAAAGAUUAAAUAAGGCUGUGCACAGUGGCUCACACCUGUAAUCCCAGCACUUUGGGAAGCCAAGGCAGGCGGAUCACUUGAGGUCAGGAGUUCAAGACCAGCCUGGCCAACAUGGCGAAACCCCAUCUCUACUAAAAAUAUAAAAAUUAGCUGGCCGUAGUGGUGCAUGCCUGUAAUCCCAGCUACUCAGGAGGCUGAGGCGGGAGAAUUGCUUGACCCUGGGCAGCAGAGGUUGCAGUGAGCUGAGAUUGCACCACUGCAUGCCAGCCUGGGCAACAGAGGGAGACUCUGUCUCAAAAGGAAAACAAAAAGAUUAAACAAAAGAAAAACAAAAAGAUUGAAUGAGAUAAUGGAUGUAGAUUUCCUUCCUCUUGCAUCCUCAAUCGACCCUUCCUUGAGAGUGGCUGGUGCACCCUCCCCAGAUCAUAGCACUGCUCACCCAUUCUGGAGCCUGAGGACCCCUCAAAUCCCCACAUCUGACCCUCAGCUCUCCACUCAGACUUCCUCCCCAACAGAGGGGCCAGCAGGGGCAGCAGCUGACAGUAUUUACUGGUGUGAAAGUUCCACCUUAUACAGAUGUUGAAAUGUGGCCUGAAGACGUCCUUUGCAAAGGACCCUCAUCUAUGAAGUUGUAUCCCAUGAAGUUGUAUCCCUUGACAAUAAGGAAGCCAAGAUGGUCCUUCCUGCCUGUACUUACAAGCGGGCCGAUCCACAGAGCUGUCUGACCCAUUUCCUGCCGUUAGAUGGGCUGGGCUAUGGGCAGGGUUGCUGGGUGUUUCACCUUGGGCCUGGCAGGGCUGGGCUGGGGGAAUGGGUACUCACGCUGGAUAUCAAUGGUGACGGAAGUCUCCUUUCCUCCGGGGAUGGCUUUGUUGGUGGCACGACACACGAUGCUCUGGCCAUUCUCCACAUCGCCAGGGGAGAUGAAGAGAGUGCUGACAAUGCUCUCCCGCUUGCCGUCCCGAAGCAGGGUCUUGGGAGAAGGGGAGAGAGGAGAGAAAGCUCUGUGCCACUUGGCUGUGGUGGUCAGCCUGGGUUGGGGGUGAACAAGCACCAGCUUAGACAGAAGGGGGAGCUGUGGAUGGAGGGGUUCAGCUUAGGAGGCCUGGGCUGCUGGUGUCUACGCAGAGCUCAGUUACCCUUGGCUCCCUGGCCUGGCUAAGUGCCAGGCUGUGGAAGGAAAAAGGAACUAGACAGUUUUCCAUCAUGUGUGAAAAUUAGCCUGGAUUCCCAUGCUAAAAGCACAAAAGAACCCAGGCUAGGCUUCAUGGAAACCAGGCUUUAGAGAGGACCCUUGUCGAAAUGAACUCACACGUGUUCUGCCUCUGGUGCCUGAGUGAGUCCAGGGUCUGUAGGAAGCAAGGAGAUGGUUUGCGAGCAGCAGAGACUGUGGCCCCUGAGGAGGGACAGUCUGCAGGGAGGCGCGGUUUGGGAAUGAGAGUUAGGGCAGGGGCAGGCGGGGACAUGGGCAGCAUCAGUGCCCAUCAACCUUUUGACCAUUUGCCUAUAUCAUCCCUUCAACUUUUCCAAGCGUUUCACUCCCUGGUCUCCCUAGUCCCUCGAUCAGACCACAGACGAGACAGAUACCGUUGUCUCCCAUUUGAUAGGGGAGGAAAUAGUUGAGCUAGACAGAGGCUAUGGAGCUUGACCAAAUUCACACUUCAAGUUGGUCCUGAAAUAAGUACUAGGCUCCUACAGGAGGUUGAAUAAUGUCCCCAGAUUUUUGUCUACCUGGAACCUCAGGAUAUGACCUUACUUGGGUCUUUGUAGUUUAGUCAAACAAUUAGUAAUUAGUUAAGGCUCUUGAGAUGAGCUCAUACUGAAUUCAAAGUGAGCCUUAAACCCAAUGACUGGUGUCCUUGGAAGAAGAGAAGACAGUCUGCUGGGCAUGGAGGCUCAUGCCUGUAAUCCCAGCACUUUGGGAGGCCAAGGUGGGAGAAUUGCUUGAGCCUAGGACUUGGAGACCAGCCUGGGCAACACAGAAAGACCCUAUCUCUACAAAACAAAAAGAUAAAAAUUAAAAAAUAUUAGCCAGGCAUAGUGGCUUGUGCCUGUAGUCCCAGCUGCUUGGGAGGCUGAGGUGAGAGGAUCACUUGCGCCCAGCAGGUUGAGGCUGCAGUGAGCUGAGGUGGUGCCACUGUACUCCAACCACGGCCACAGAGUAAGACCCUGCCAAAGAAGAAGAAGAAGGAGAAGGAGAAAGAGAGGGAAAAGAGGAAGAGGAGAAAAGGAGGAGGAGAAGAAGAAGACAGACAUAGAGAAGGCCAGGUGAAGGUGAAGGCAGAGAUUGGAGGGAUGCUGCCACAAGCCAAGGAAUGCCAGGAGCUGCCAGGAGCUGGAAGAGGCAAGGAAGGAUUUCCCCCUGCAGUCUUUGGAGGGGACACAGCCCUGCUGACACCUUGAUUUCAGACUUGUUGGCUUCUACAACUGUGAGAUAAUUGAUUUGUGUUGUUAUAAGCACCGAACUGUGGUGCUUUGUAAUGGCAGCCUUAGGAAGCAAACUCAUCUUAAUCUCUGGUCUCCCAUUUUCCCAGGUCAUUUUUUUUUUUUUUUUUUUACUGAGCCACAGUGUCAUUCCGAAGCUGGUUCCCCAUUGUGGCUGCUACCCCCUUCCCUUUCCUGUCCCUCUUUGCAGCUACUUCCCCAUCACUUUGGGGCCCACUAAGUUAGGUGCACCCUGGGGAGGGUGUGCUGGGUGUGUGGGGUGCGCUUCCACAUUGGGAUUGGAGUCUUGUCAGUAUGCAAAGGCUUCUGGUACUAGGAGGUACUAGGAAGGGACUUCACUAUGGGCGCAGUCCUGUUUCCCCCUAACUGGAGCCAGAGAAUAGAUGAACAGAGCACUCCUCCCUCAAAAUCUCCCAUAAAGUGACAAUGGCAAUGUCUCGAUUUCUUAUGAGGACCCUGGAAGGGAGGCAGCCAAAAGAUGGGUGGCUUUGAUUAGCCAAAGAGAAACCUGAGUUCCAAGUGAGCCAGGAACUUGCUGGGUGGAGCUAGGAUUUGCCCUUAAGUGUGGGUGAACCCUGAGCCAUAGCCUCUGCCAGCCCCAGGGGUGCUGGAGGGUGGGCACUGUGCUCUUGGCAGGACAAGUGGGAACAGUUAGGGCCACAGGGAGAAGCCUGUAGGCACCUGGGACCCCACGUUCUCUGUCCUUAAUUCAGUGUGAUUUUUCUCAACUUGGGGCAAACCUCAUGGCCUCAGGAGAACAGGGCCAGAGACUGUAUCUAGAACAGCAGGAGGCAACGCCAGACUGUGACAUUCUAGAGAGCCACACGAUGCUGGGACUCUGGGUGCUGGCCCUGGCCCUGGCCCUGGGCAGAGGAGAGUGACGUGGCCAGACCCAGCAAGCAGGGGGAAGGACCAUUGGCACACAGGGUGAGAACCUUCGCAGCCUUCGAUCCGCUCUGGGGCCAGCAAAAGCAGGUGGAGGAGUGAAGUUGAACCUCAAGCCAAAGCCCGGGCAGAGAAGGAGCAGCAGCCGGCCCCACAUGACCACCCUGGCUUGCGCUCUUCCGCAGACCUCACCGUCUAUAAAUAGCCAAGUGAUAAUACGGACAAUUUCCCGGAUGGAAGGAUGGAACUAAGACUUCGGGUAGGGUGAGCAGAGGCGGGAAGGUGGUGAGGACUGGGUCGGCAUUAUUCUUCUCUUCUUUACUUUUCUGUUAUGCUAACGAGGGACAUUUACAUAAGCUUGAACUCUGCCAGGAACCCCUCCAAUGGAUGGGCCCUGGGCUGUGGGUGCAGUGCCGCAGGAGGGGAGCGAAGGGCCCAGCUCUAAUUAGGCUCUCUGACUGCUCCCCCUCCUCCCUGCACCCAGCGUGCUCCUCUGCCGAGGAAUGAUGAUUAAUGACAUAUUUACUGGGUCUGGGCAUGUGCUUUUCUGGGAAAUAAAAAGUCUGGUUCAA